AUGAAGACCACUUUCAGCUGUUACAUUGUCUAGAUUCCAGAAAAUGUCACUACCACUCUGAAGGGAUGCACAGUUAUGGUGAAGGGUUCCAGAGGAAGCCUUUGAAAGGUGUUGAAUCACAUCAGUGUAAAAAUGUGAUCUCCUUGGAAAGAAAAAGAGGAGGUUAUAGGUUGAAUUCAAGAUGGGGAAACAGAAGGGCCAUUGUGUGAAAUAUCUGGAGUCACUUACAGAAUGUGAUGAAAGGAAUUACCCUGGGCUUCAGUUACACCAUGAGGUCUUUGUACCCACCCCCCAUUAUCAACGCUGUUGUUGUUGUUGUUUUUUUUAAAUCAAUAUUGGUAUUCAAGAGAAUGAAUCUAUUGUUAAAAUCUAAAACUUGUUUAACAGAAAAUCUCAUCCGCAGGGUUUGGAUGAAAAUGGGUGCCCCUUGCUCUGUUUAUCAAGCCCGGAAAGAUGAAUGAAUCUUGGAAGGAAACAAUAUUGAGGCAGUC
rnacentral:lncRNA from 1 species